rnacentral:rRNA from 1 species
UACGUAGGGUGCAAGCGUUGUCCGGAAUUAUUGGGCGUAAAGAGCUCGUAGCGGUUUGUCGCGUCUGCUGUGAAAACCCGAGGCUCAACCUCGGGCCUGCAGUGGGUACGGGCAGACUAGAGUGCGGUAGGGGAGAUUGGAAUUCCUGGUGUAGCGGUGGAAUGCGCAGAUAUCAGGAGGAACACCGGUGGCGAAGGCGGGUCUCUGGGCUGUAACUGACGCUGAGGAGCGAAAGCGUGGGUAGCGAACAGG